GACGAACGCUGGCGGCGUGCCUAACACAUGCAAGUCGAACGAGAAGGGGGCUUCGGUCCCUGGAAAGUGGCGCACGGGUGAGUAACGCGUGGAUAAUCUACCUAGCGGUCUGGGAUAACAUCUCGAAAGGGGUGCUAAUACCGGAUAAGCCCACGAGGUCUACGGACCUAGCGGGAAAAAGGGGGGACCUUCGGGCCUUUUGCCACUGGAUGAGUCCGCGUACCAUUAGCUAGUUGGUGGGGUAAUGGCCCACCAAGGCUACGAUGGUUAGCCGGUCUGAGAGGAUGAUCAGCCGCAAUGGAACUGAGACACGGUCCAGACUCCUACGGGAGGCAGCAGUGGGGAAUUUUGCGCAAGGGGCGAAAGCCUGACGCAGCAACGCCGCGUGAGUGAUGAAGGCCCUCGGGUCGUAAAGCUCUGUCGGGAGGGAAGAAGUGAUUAAGGGUUAAUACCCCUUGAUCUUGACGGUACCUCCGAAGGAAGCACCGGCUAACUCCGUGCCAGCAGCCGCCGUAA
rnacentral:rRNA from 1 species